rnacentral:rRNA from 1 species
AGCGAACGCUGGCGGCAGGCCUAACACAUGCAAGUCGAACGAACUCUUCGGAGUUAGUGGCGGACGGGUGAGUAACACGUGGGAACGUGCCUUUUGGUUCGGAAUAACUCAGGGAAACUUGUGCUAAUACCGAGUGUGCCCUUCGGGGGAAAGAUUUAUCGCCAUUAGAGCGGCCCGCGUCUGAUUAGCUAGUUGGUGAGGUAACGGCUCACCAAGGCGACGAUCAGUAGCUGGUCUGAGAGGAUGACCAGCCACACUGGGACUGAGACACGGCCCAGGCUCCUACGGGAGGCAGCAGUGGGGAAUCUUGCGCAAUGGGCGAAAGCCUGACGCAGCCAUGCCGCGUGAAUGAUGAAGGUCUUAGGAUUGUAAAAUUCUUUCACCGGGGACGAUAAUGACGGUACCCGGAGAAGAAGCCCCGGCUAACUUCGUG